AUUGAACGCUGGCGUCAGGCUUAACACAUGCAAGUCGAACGAUUGGCGGACGGGUGAGUACUGCUUGGGAAUCUAGCUUAUGGAGGGGGAUAACUACGGGAAACUGUAGCUAAUACCGCGUACCAUAGGAUGAGCCCACGUGGGAUUAGGUAGUUGGUGAGGUAAAGGCUCACCAAGCCGACGAUCUCUAGCUGGUCUGAGAGGAUGACCAGCCAGACUGCGACUGAGACAGUGCGCAUACUCCUACUGUAGGCAGCAGUGGGGAAUAUUGCGCAAUUGGGGCAAAUUGACGCAGUCAUGCCGCGUGAAUGAAGAAGGCCUGCGGGUUGUAAAGUUCUUUCGGUAGCGAGGCGUUAAGUACAGGAGAAGCACCGGGUAACUCCGUGCCAGGAGCCGCGGUAAUUC
rnacentral:rRNA from 1 species